GACGAACUGCCCAAACGUUGUUCGGAAUCACUGGGCUUAAAGGGCGCGUAGGCGGCGAUACAAGUCAGGGGUGAAAUCCGGCAGCUCAACUGUCGAAGUGCCUUUGAUACUGUAUCGCUCGAGGGAGGUAGGGGUCUGUGGAACUUCUGGUGGAGCGGUGAAAUGCGUUGAUAUCAGAAGGAACGCCGGUGGCGAAAGCGACGGACUGGACCUUUUCUGACGCUGAGGCGCGAAAGCUAGGGGAGCAAACGGG
rnacentral:rRNA from 1 species